rnacentral:rRNA from 1 species
ACGGAAGGCAGCAGUGGGGGAUAUUGCACAGUGGGGGAAACCCUGAUGCAGCGACGCCGCGUGAGCGAAGAAGUAUUUCGGUAUGUAAAGCUCUAUCAGCAGGGAAGAAAAUGACGGUACCUGACUAAGAAGCUCCGGCUAAAUACGUGCCAGCAGCCGCGGUAAUACGUAUGGUGCAGGCGUUAUCCGGAUUUACUGGGUGUAAAGGGAGCGUAGACGGCAUGGCAAGCCAGAUGUGGAAUGCGGGGGCUCAGCCCCUGAACUGCAUUUGGAACUGUCAAGCUAGAGUAUCGGAGAGGUAAGUGGAAUUCCUAGUGUAGCGGUGAAAUGCGUAGAUAUUAGGAGGAACACCAGUGGCGAAGGCGGCUUACUGGACGAUAACUGACGUUGAGGCUCGAAAGCGUGGGGAGCAAACAGGAUUAGAUACCCUGGUA